rnacentral:rRNA from 1 species
CGACGAUGAUGCCCAGCUUGCUGGGCGGAUUAGUGGCGAACGGGUGAGUAAUACGUGAGUAACCUGCCCUUGACUCUGGGAUAAGCCUGGGAAACUGGGUCUAAUACUGGAUACUACCGUCCACCGCAUGGUGGGUGGUGGAAAGGGUUUUACUGGUUUUGGAUGGGCUCACGGCCUAUCAGCUUGUUGGUGGGGUAAUGGCUCACCAAGGCGACGACGGGUAGCCGGCCUGAGAGGGUGACCGGCCACACUGGGACUGAGACACGGCCCAGACUCCUACGGGAGGCAGCAGUGGGGAAUAUUGCACAAUGGGCGGAAGCCUGAUGCAGCGACGCCGCGUGAGGGAUGACGGCCUUCGGGUUGUAAACCUCUUUCAGUAGGGAAGAAGCGAGAGUGACGGUACCUGCAGAAGAAGCGCCGGCUAACUACGUGCCAGCAGCCGCGGUAAUACGUAGGGCGCAAGCGUUGUCCGGAAUUAUUGGGCGUAAAGAGCUCGUANGCGGUUUGUCGCGUCUGCUGUGAAAGCCCGGGGCUCAACCCCGGGUCUGCA